rnacentral:tRNA from 1 species
GCGACGGUAGCUUAGUGGUAGAGCCUCCACUUCGCAUGCGGGGAGACCUGGGUUCGAUUCCCGGCUGUUUCC